rnacentral:rRNA from 1 species
UACGUAGGGCGCAAGCGUUUGUCCGGAAUUAUUGGGCGUAAAGGGCUCGUAGGCGGUUUGUCGCGUCGGGAGUGAAAUCCUACGGCUUAACUGUGGGCUUGCUUUCGAUACGGGCAGACUAGAGGUAUGCAGGGGAGAACGGAAUUCCUGGUGUAGCGGUGAAAUGCGCAGAUAUCAGGAGGAACACCGGUGGCGAAGGCGGGUCUCUGGGCAACAACUGACGCUGAGGAGCGAAAGCGUGGGGAGCGAACAGG